rnacentral:rRNA from 1 species
AGACCUGAAAUCAGUCGAGAUUACCCGCUGAAUUUAAGCAUAUUAUUAAGCGGAGGAAAAGAAAAUAACUAUGAUUCCCCUAGUAACGGCGAGUGAAGCGGGAUCAGCUCAAAGUGAAAAUCGCGUGUCCAUGUUGGGCCCGCGAGUUGUAGCCUCGAAA